UUUAUUGGGUUUAAAGGGAGCGUAGAUGGAUGUUUAAGUCAGUUGUGAAAGUUUGCGGCUCAACCGUAAAAUUGCAGUUGAUACUGGAUAUCUUGAGUGCAGUUGAGGCAGGCGGAAUUCGUGGUGUAGCGGUGAAAUGCUUAGAUAUCACGAAGAACUCCGAUUGCGAAGGCAGCCUGCUAAGCUGCAACUGACAUUGAGGCUCGAAAGUGUGGGUAUCAAACAGGAUUAGAUACCCUGGUAGUCCACACGGUAAACGAUGAAUACUCGCUGUUUGCGAUAUACGGCAAGCGGCCAAGCGAAAGCGUUAAGUAUUCCACCUGGGGAGUACGCCGGCAACGGUGAAACUCAAAGGAAUUGACGGGGGCCCGCACAAGCGGAGGAACAUGUGGUUUAAUUCGAUGAUACGCGAGGAACCUUACCCGGGCUUAAAUUGCAGAUGAAUUACGGUGAAAGCCGUAAGCCGCAAGGCAUCUGUGAAGGUGCUGCAUGGUUGUCGUCAGCUCGUGCCGUGAGGUGUCGGCUUAAGUGCCAUAACGAGCGCAACCCUUGUUGUCAGUUACUAACAGGUUCCGCUGAGGACUCUGACAAGACUGCCAUCGUAAGAUGUGAGGAAGGUGGGGAUGACGUCAAAUCAGCACGGCCCUUACGUCCGGGGCUACACACGUGUUACAAUGGGGGGUACAGAGGGCCGCUACCACGCGAGUGGAUGCCAAUCCCCAAAACCUCUCUCAGUUCGGACUGGAGUCUGCAACCCGACUCCACGAAGCUGGAUUCGCUAGUAAUCGCGCAUCAGCCACGGCGCGGUGAAUACGUUCCCGGGCCUUGUACACACCGCCCGUCAAGCCAUGGGAGCCGGGGGUACCUGAAGUGCGUAACCGCGAGGAGCGCCCUAGGGUAAAACUGGUGACUGGGGCUAAGUCGUAACAAGGUAGCCGUACCGGAAGGUGCGGCUG
rnacentral:rRNA from 1 species